rnacentral:rRNA from 1 species
AACGAACGCUGGCGGCAUGCCUAACACAUGCAAGUCGAACGAGACCUUCGGGUCUAGUGGCGCACGGGUGCGUAACGCGUGGGAACCUGCCCUUAGGUUCGGAAUAACUCUCCGACAGGGGUGCUAAUACCGGAUAAUGUCUUCGGACCAAAGAUUUAUCGCCUUUGGAUGGGCCCGCGUUGGAUUAGCUAGUUGGUAGGGUAAAAGCCUACCAAGGCGACGAUCCAUAGCUGGUCUGAGAGGAUGAUCAGCCACACUGGGACUGAGACACGGCCCAGACUCCUACGGGAGGCAGCAGUAGGGAAUAUUGGACAAUGGGCGAAAGCCUGAUCCAGCAAUGCCGCGUGAGUGAUGAAGGCCUUAGGGUUGUAAAGCUCUUUUACCCGGGAUGAUAAUGACAGUACCGGGAGAAUAAGCUCCGGCUAACUCCGUG